UGUAGCAUGGAUACAGGGUGGGUGUAUGGAGGUACUGUAGCAUGGACACAGGGUGUGUGUAUGGAGGUACUGUAGCAUGGACACAGGGUGGGUGUAUGGAGGUACUGUAGCAUGGAUACAGGGUGUGUGUAUGGAGGUACUGUAGCAUGGACACAGGGUGUGUGUAUGGAGGUACUGUAGCAUGGACACAGGCUGGGUGUAUGGAGGUACUGUAGCAUGGACACAGGGUGUGUGUAUGGAGGUACUGUAGCAUGGACACAGGGUGGGUGUAUGGAGGUACUGU